GAUGAACGCUAGCGAUAGGCCUAACACGUGCAAGUCGAGGGGCAUCACAUGAAGUAGCAAUACGGAUGGUGGCGACCGGCGCACGGGUGAGUAACACGUAUGCAACCUGCCUUCAACAAGGGGAUAACCCGUUGAAAGACGGACUAAUACCCCUAUAACACAGGGGUCCCGCAUGGGAAUAUUUGUUAAAGGACAACCGGUUGAAGAUGGGCAUGCGUUCCAUUAGCUAGUUGGCGGGGUAACGGCCCACCAAGGCAACGAUGGAUAGGGGAACUGAGAGGUUUAUCCCCCACACUGGUACUGAGACACGGACCAGACUCCUACGGGAGGCAGCAGUGAGGAAUAUUGGUCAAUGGACGCAAGUCUGAACCAGCCACGUCGCGUGAAGGAAGACGGCCCCUAGGGUUGUAAACUUCUUUUAACGGGAAUAAAGUGCCCCACGCGUGGGGUUUUGCAUGUACCGUAUGAAUAAGGAUCGGCUAACUCCGUGCCAGCAGCCGC
rnacentral:rRNA from 1 species